CUAACUAUCUAAUGACCUAGUGGUCAUUCGGGUGACUGGUGCAAAAGGUUGAUGCCAUCUGGAGCUGGAUCUCCAACAGAUGCAAGGUGCAGUCCCUGGCCUCUCUAGGUGCAGCAGAGAUAUGGAAGGAGGAGGGGGAAGGAGCAAACAUGAAAGGGUGGUGACACAUUGCAUUCUAGGUGUCAUGGUAGAGGCCUCCCCAUCUCUUCAGCUAUAUUAAUUCUGUCCAAGGAAGUACAUACAUGGAAAGGAGGCUAGGUAGUCUGCAGUGGCAAUAUCACUGUCAGCAUACCUCAGUGUAUGCUCAAGAAGAAUGUCUUUCUAAACUGAUGCUAAUUUUUCAAAAUCAAAUUACACUUCAUGCCCAUUUUUGCUAAUUGGAUACCUACCAUUUAUCACCACACCAUCUCUGGAAUUCAUCAAGCGGCCAGACUCACCUGUUCAUCUUCAUUACCGGAAUCGGAAACAUUCUCCAGACUCCUGAUACUGCAGGCUAGACUUCAACUGUCAAAUCUUCUAGAUUAACUCAAGUUUUUUCUAAAUAUUGGUUUUAUGAUAUCUUCUGUCAUAAUGCAACUGGCUUGUUCAUUACUCUCUA